CAGGUGGUUCCUACCCUUUGCUAUGGUAAAUUGUGCUGCAAUGAACAUUGGGUUCCAAGUGUCUGGCCAAGCUCCUCCUUUCAUUCCUUCAGCUGUGCAUCUAGGAGAGGGACCUCCAGAUCACACGAAAUUGUGGACAAAUCUGGCGUCAGGAAGGUUUCUCCUAUGUGCCAGCCCCUCAAGGAUGACAAGCAACAACCGGUAACCAGAGCCCAGAAUUUCAAGGUUUUCAGAGAACAGAAGCCUGUUGCCUAGCCUGGCUCCAGCAAAGAACGGCAGGAACUUGGGCUGCUGUCCCCAUGGUUGCUGCCUUUCGGGCUGGGGGCUGAUAAACACAAACAAACCAGAGCUGAAACGAACCGAACUGGACCAGCCUCCUCCAAGCUGUCUCCUAGGCACUGGGCAUGCAUUGCCACAUACAGAAGCCCGGAAAUCCCGCCACAGUCCUACCCAUCCAGUCGCUGUUCUGAUGCAGGCAUGGAUUGCCGGAGCUUUCUAUUCCACCAUCUUUUGGCCGCAUGUCAUCUUGAGGUCACUAGGUUUUAUGGAUGGUAUAAAAUACUGGAAAAUUUAAGUCCCAGUACAAGUUGCCCCUUUCAGACAACUUACAAUGAGCCCUCAAGUCCUGCCUCCCUGCUCUGUGGCACCUGAGCUCUGAGCCCCUCACUUGAGAUCCCGAGCCACUAUCAAGUCAGAGGCCAUUUUCACCCCACUGAGGGACACGUGGUGGCACAAUCUCAAAACAGACUGGGUUCUCACUCCACGACUGCCCUUCCUUCUCCUGCAGGUAAAGAGGGCAAUCGCGGCUCACUGUGAAGCUGAGUAAGGAGCCUUUUUCUAUUCCCUGCAGCUAGAACACCUUUCCUAAAAAGUGAGAACAAUGUCCAAAAGGGUGAUUUGGGACUUAUGAUGUGAUUACUGUUUAAGUCAACAACAAGUCCCUGAGCUUUUUCUAGACUGGGGGGGAAACAUCCAAGUCCUCUGACACUCUGACACGGUAAGUCUUGGGGCUCCAUCGUGAACUCACUUCCUAACAUGACAGCUCUUCAUUCAAAACAGACAGGGAGACUGUCUUUUUAAACAAAACAUUUUUUAAUAUUCUUCACUAAUAUUUGUACAGCUGUAAACUCAAGGAAUUGUUCAAUACUUGUGUACAUUUUAGGGAAUAGUUAAUAAGCACCUUCAGUGGUUUCCACAGUUUAAAACUUACCAUUUAAGACUUUAGAAUGAAUCUAGUGAAAUGAGGAAAACAGGCAUAAA